rnacentral:rRNA from 1 species
AACGAACGCUGGCGGCAUGCCUAACACAUGCAAGUCGAACGAGACCUUCGGGUCUAGUGGCGCACGGGUGCGUAACGCGUGGGAACCUGCCUUUAGGUUCGGAAUAACUCAGAGAAAUUUGAGCUAAUACCGGAUAAUGUCUUCGGACCAAAGAUUUAUCGCCUUUAGAUGGGCCCGCGUAAGAUUAGCUAGUUGGUGGGUAAAGGCCUACCAAGGCGACGAUCUUUAGCUGGUCUGAGAGGAUGAUCAGCCACACUGGGACUGAGACACGGCCCAGACUCCUACGGAGGCAGCAGUGGGGAAUAUUGGACAAUGGGCGAAAGCCUGAUCCAGCAAUGCCGCGUGAGUGAUGAAGGCCUUAGGGUUGUAAAGCUCUUUUUACCCGAGAUGAUAAUGACAGUAUCGGGAGAAUAAGCUCCGGCUAACUCCGUGCCAGCAGCCGCGGUAAU